rnacentral:rRNA from 1 species
GUAUUGCCUCAGUAACGGCGAGUGAAGCGGCAACAGCUCAAAUUUGAAAUCUGACCUCACGGUCCGAGUUGUAAUUUGCAGAGGAUGUCUCGGGUGCGAUACCGGUCUAAGUUCCUUGGAACAGGACGUCACAGAGGGUGAGAAUCCCGUACGUGACCGGUGGUCAACCCCAUGUGAGGCUCCUUCGACGAGUCGAGUUGUUUGGGAAUGCAGCUCUAAAUGGGUGGUAAAUUUCAUCUAAAGCUAAAUAUUGGCCAGAGACCGAUAGCGCACAAGUAGAGUGAUCGAAAGAUGAAAAGCACUUUGGAAAGAGAGUUAAAAAGUACGUGAAAUUGUUGAAAGGGAAGCGCUUGCAACCAGACUUGCCCGCGGGUGAUCAACCGUCCUUCGGGGCGGUGCACUCGCCCGCGAUCAGGCCAGUAUCGGUUUCGGCAGCCGGACAAAGACUUCGGGAACGUAGCUCCUCUCGGGGAGUGUUAUAGCCCGWCGUGUAAUACGGUUCGCCGGGACCGAGGACCGCGCUUCGGCUAGGAUACUGGCGUAAUGGUUGUCAGCGACCCGUCUUGAAACACGGACCAAGA